rnacentral:rRNA from 1 species
UUUGGCAGCGCGAGGAGUACGGCCCUGAAAAGUAGGGAUAGUUGGGGGCAUUAAUAUUUAAUUGUCAGAGGUGAAAUUCUUGUAUUUAUGAAAGAUUAACCCCCGCGAAAGCAUCUGCCAAGGAUGUUUUCAUUAAUCAAGAACGAAAGUUAAGGGAUCGAAGACGAUCAGAUACCAUCGUAGUCUUAACCAUAAACGAUGCCAACCAGCGAUUAGGAGACGUUGAAUACAAAACACCACCCUCGGCGCGGUCGUCCUUGGCGUGUCGGCUUCUCGGCGGC